rnacentral:pre_miRNA from 1 species
AGUGGAAUUGCUGGGUAAUAUGGUAACUCUGUGUUUAACUUUUUGAAAAACUGCCAAGCUAUUUUCCAAAGUAGCUGUACCAUUUUACAUUCCCACCAGCAAU